UAUAAAGUAAGAACACAUUCAUCACCAGCCAGCCCACACCAAGAUAAGAUUAAACUGCUAAUUCUGCAUGAAUUACUCAGUCCCUAAAACAGACAAGAUUAUAACAACCCUGAUUACAGCUCUCCUGACUCAAGAACAAGUUGCAAGGCCUUUUUCUACAUCAUGUUUCUUCCCUUGUCGUUGUAAAGAGUCUUAAAAAUCUUAGACUGAACUACAGCUUCAAGUGUGGGUAUUCCUGCUGGUUUUAGUGUGGGAUAGAUGAAGAUCUGAAAGGAAUAAACACAAGAAAUAAAAUGGAAAAUCAAAGAA